rnacentral:tRNA from 1 species
ACUUUGAUAACUUAAAUUAGAGCAUAGCACUGAAGAUGCUAAGGUGACAACUAUCGUUUCAAGGUG